rnacentral:rRNA from 1 species
CAGCCGCCGCGGGAAUACGGAGGGUGCAAGCGUUAAUCGGAAUUACUGGGCGUAAAGCGCACGCAGGCGGUCUGUCAAGUCAGAUGUGAAAUCCCCGGGCUUAACCUGGGAACUGCAUUUGAAACUGGCAGGCUAGAGUCUUGUAGAGGGGGGUAGAAUUCCAGGUGUAGCGGUGAAAUGCGUAGAGAUCUGGAGGAAUACCGGUGGCGAAGGCGGCCCCCUGGACAAAGACUGACGCUCAGGUGCGAAAGCGUGGGGAGCAAACAGGAUUAGAGACCCCGGUAGUCCCUGUCUCUUAUAC